GGAGCCAAAAGGCAAUCUAUAACACGACCAGAACAUCAGGUCCUGGGGACAUCUUUAUUCUCCAACACACUCAGAACUAUCCAAAGUAAAGCUUCAUUCGUACUGAGAGGAGCAGAGAUCAAUGACACCCCUUCCAGCUGCUAAUGGCCAAGAUCAGAGGGAGAACAAAUCCAAUCAAGCUUGGAUCCUCACAUUUUCAGGCAUAUUAUUGUUUAUUUAUCCCUGAAGAUACCGGUUUAUGAAGACUGACUACAUAUUAUUAUUCACCUCUCACCGUGAUUAUAAACAAAAUACAAGCAUCCUAUGGAAGGUAACACACACAGCAAUCAA